rnacentral:lncRNA from 1 species
GCUUUGAUGCUCCCCAGUUGGCCCUGAGAGAUGCCACGUGAGCGUCAUUUUAAAUCCUAGCGCAUCUGCAGUCUCCCCACGCCGGGUUCAGUCAGGCGAAGUUGCGUUAUCUGUGAUGUGUUGUAACAAAAAGCGUUUAUCUUUGAAACACUAAGACAAUUAGAGAAUUCUGUCAUCCC